GCAUCACCCUCCUGUUCCUGCUGCUCUUUGGUUUGCCAUGUGGCCAUCAGUGCAAGAGGUGGACCAACCCAUUGCCAUCAAUCUGGUAGUAUGCAUCCUGUCAAGACAUGCAGAUGAAUGAGUUACCAGGGGGAGCUAAUAAUUCAUGAGUAACAAGCACCACAAAUGUAUCUACACAUCACAAGUCUGACGAGAAGGUGGAGAAGAUUAUUUACCAGGUGGGAGGUCUGCAUUCCUGCUAAUGCCCUCAGCAGCAAACAGAGACAAAGCACUAUGAAAAUGACAGACUUUGCCCUCGGCAGAAUGAUGCUCAGAGUUUUUCCACCGACUGGAGGUGUUUUGCAAGGUGGACAGAACGAAGCCCGAUGCACCAAGUCCAGAUGAAGAUGUGUUCCUACAGGAGUAGAACACCUGACUGACCCAUAAUCUAGUAGAGAAUAAAAUUCCCCCUCUAAUUGGUUUCUAAAUCA